CGCUCGUAGUCGGAUUUCGGGGCGGCUUCGUCGGUCUGCCGAUGGGUAUGCACUGACGCGGGCGUCCUUCCUUCCGGAGACGCGUCCUACUCUUAGCUGAGCGGGGCGUGGAGACGGAUCGUUUACUUUGAAAAAAUCAGAGUGUUUCAAGCAGGCAUCAUCGCUCUUGCAUGGAUUAGCAUGGGAUAAUGAAAUAGGACCUUGGUGCUAUUUUGUUGGUUUCGAGCACCGAAGUAAUGAUUAACAGGGACAGUCAGGGGCACUCGUAUUCCGCCGAGAGAGGUGAAAUUCUCAGACCAGCGGAAGACGAACCACUGCGAAAGCAUUUGCCAGGGAUGUUUUCACUGAUCAAGAACGAAAGUUAGGGGAUCGAAGACGAUCAGAUACCGUCGUAGUCUUAACCAUAAACCAUGCCGACUAGGGAUUGGAGGAUGUCCACUUUUGACUUCUUCAGCACCUUACGGGAAACUAAAGUCUUUGGGUUCCGGGGGGAGUAUGGUCGCAAGGCUGAAACUUAAAGGAAUUGACGGAAGGGCACCACCAGGAGUGGAGCCUGCGGCUUAAUUUGACUCAACACGGGGAAACUUACCAGGUCCAGACAUUGUGAGGAUUGACAGAUUGAGAGCUCUUUCUUGAUUCGAUGGGUGGUGGUGCAUGGCCGUUCUUAGUUGGUGGAGUGA
rnacentral:rRNA from 1 species